rnacentral:lncRNA from 1 species
CUCUCAGUCCCGAACUUUACAGGCCGCCCCCUGACGUCAGGAAGGGCCCUGCCAAUGGAGAGGGGCGGCCUGGACCCUAGGAGAGGGGAAGUGGGGGAGGGUCCUCGUGCACAAAGGCCGCGCUCGGGGGAGGGGUUUAUGUACACGUUCCCUAGAGGAGGGAGGGAGCCCACUCGGACCCAAGCCAGGGCCUAAUUCCAACUCGAUUCUUCCUUUAAAUUCCCCAGUUCUGGAUAGAAGAUUUGUCUCUGAAUUCAGUUCUCCAGUUCUCUAAGAGAACCCAUGAUCUCCUUCACUUGAAUUUCGG